UACGGAGGGAGCUAGCGUUGUUCGGAAUUACUGGGCGUAAAGCGCGCGUAGGCGGCUUUGUAAGUUAGAGGUGAAAGCCCGGGGCUCAACCCCGGAACUGCCUUUAAGACUGCAUCGCUUGAAUCCAGGAGAGGUGAGUGAAAUUCCGAGUGUAGAGGUGAAAUUCGUAGAUAUUCGGAAGAACACCAGUGGCGAAGGCGGCUCACUGGACUGGUAUUGACGCUGA
rnacentral:rRNA from 1 species